UUGAUAUUAGCAAUACAGACACAUUUGAAACUGGGGGGGGGGAAUCUUUUUUUCAUUGUGAAGUGAUCUUCUAUCAGUCUUCUACUUCCUUCUCUCUCUCUCUCAAUAGAAAGCUGUCUUAUACUAAGCUCGAGUGGUGGUUCAUGCAAUCAGAAUUGGCAGCAACUCUCCAAAAUCCCCAACAAAAGUAUUUUCCAAUAUAUGUUGCAUAAAAUCCUUUUCACUGAAAAUGCUGGGGACUGAAUCCCACCUUUUGCAUUCAAAGCCAGUGCUCUUAUUCUAAUGUACAGUUUUAAUUUUUCAUACAUUAAACAAAUUUCUACUGAUCUUUUUUUUAAAAAAAAGGAUGAUGAUGGCUUAGAAAAAGGACAGGGCUAAAGCCUGCCAAGGCACACUUUCUGGCUGACAUUGUUGAGUUUUGAACCAGCAGCUACAUCUGCAGCAAUUAGCAGCUGACAAAUUAACCAUGCCUGACUUUUUAGUUGCUCCAAAGGUACUCGGGGCCAAGUUCUACACAGAGUGAUGAAAUGGACAUCACUAUUACUUGCAUUUAGAAUUUCUUAAGAAAAGUUAUUUGUGCAUACUUUGAAUUUAACAGAUUUCUAUUAUACCUCAUAAUUUUAAAUUAUGAUCUGAUUUGUUUGUUUGUUUUGUUAAAAGGAAGCUAUCUGAUGAUAAAGGAGAUUUGAGGAGGCCUAAAGAUUUCUCUGAAUCAAAAGGGGAGCUGCAAUGGAAAAAAAUUUGGGAAACACUUUCUCAACACUUUCGCUGCAAUGGGUUUGGUAAAAGCCUGUUGAAAAUGAAAUACACAAAAUUUUUUAUACAGUCACUCUGUUCAGUUUCAGCAGAAUGAAGAAAUCAGUACCAAUUUAAAGAUUUACUGGUGUUUCACUAGGUAUUUUUGUUGAAUCUGUAAUUUUGGCCUUCAUUGUCAUGGGACGAACGGUCAUUAAUGUUUGGAUUUUGGUGAAAAUCUCUCAAGGAAAAGUGGAAAUGUUUUAACUUCACAUUAUCUUGGUACAGAAUAAGUGCAUCAGUUGGUAACAUCUCAGGAAACUGAAUGCCCAUUUACUAGGUUUCAAAAGGACAUUCUGUAGCUUGUAGAAUAAUAUGCCAUUUGAACCAUUCAAGCUGUAUUUU
rnacentral:lncRNA from 1 species